rnacentral:rRNA from 1 species
GUCGAACGCUGGCGGCAGGCCUAACACAUGCAAGUCGAGCGGACGAAGGGUGCUUGCUCCUGGAUUCAUCGGCGGCCGGGUGAGUAAUGCCUAGGAAUCUGCCUGCUGCUGGGGGAUAACGUCCGGAAACGGGCGCUAAUACGGCAUACGCUCUGAGGGCGGAAGUGGGGGAUCGUCGUACCUCACGCUUUCAUAUGAGCCUAGGUCGGAUUAGCUAGUUGGUGGGGUAAAGGCCUACCAAGGCGACGAUCCGUAACUGGUCUGAGAGGAUGAGCAGUGACACUGGAACUGAGACACGGUCCAGACUCCUACGGGAGGGAGCAGUGGGGAAUAGUGGACAAUGGGCGUAAGCCUGAUCCAGCCACGCCGCGUGUGUGAGGAAGGUCUUCGGAUUGUAGAGGUGUUUAAGUUGGGAGGAUGGGCAGUAAGUUAAUGUCUUGCUUGUUUAACGUAACCAGCAGAAUAAGCGCCGGCUAACUUCGUG